CUGGCUGAUGAGACUUAAGGCGAAUGCGACCCGUGCCCUUCGACCCCUGGGGGCGGGGGUUCCGAGUGGGAUCUGAGAGCUUGGUGGGGCACCUGAGGGCUGGCUCCCCGCCAUGAGGCAGAUCAACAGCGCAGCUGGCCUUGCCUCCACGUCCACUGCUGCCUCCAGUUCCCGGCAGCUGCCUGCAGGGAGGCCGACAGGUGGGGCUGGGCACGAGCCACGUGAGCGCAACCNNNNNNNNNNNN
ensembl:snoRNA